rnacentral:lncRNA from 1 species
AGCUGCUUUUCAGUAUCUUUUUAACCUAAGAGUAUUUGGCUUUAUUCUGAUUCUUGUCACAGUUUUACCACACUUGGAAGUAAUCUCUCACCUUCUGAACAACCAUGACAUCCCUCCAAAAUGUCCAUCCCCCACUGGUGGUUACUCUGAAAUAUUACUCAGUCUACUGAGCAGUGAAAGUUGACUCAAGAUUCCUGGAAGGAAGGUGAGUGGCUGACCUCCUGUUCCACUGCCUGGAAUCUCCUCGGACUCUGGAACAGAGAAUUUAAAAUAUUAAUGCUUUGAAUAAUAAAUUAGAGCUUAAAGUAAAUGAGGUAUGAGCA